rnacentral:rRNA from 1 species
GGAGGGUGCAAGCGUUGUUCGGAAUUAUUGGGCGUAAAGAGCGUGUAGGCGGUUCGGUAAGUCAGAUGUGAAAGCCCUGGGCUCAACCCAGGAAGUGCAUUUGAAACUACCUGACUUGAGUACGGGAGAGGAGGGGGGAAUUCCCGGUGUAGAGGUGAAAUUCGUAGAUAUCGGGAGGAAUACCAGUGGCGAAGGCGCCCCUCUGGACCGAUACUGACGCUGAGACGCGAAAGCGUGGGGAGCAAACAGGAUUAGAUACCCUGGGUAGUCCACGCCGUAAACGAUGAGCACUAGGUGUAGCGGGUAUUGACCCCCCUGCUGUGCCGUAGCUAACGCAUUAAGUGCUCCGCCUGGGGGACUACGGUCGCAAGACUA